UACGUAGGGUGCGAGCGUUGUCCGGAAUUAUUGGGCGUAAAGGGCUCGUAGGCGGUCUGUUGCGUCGGGAGUGAAAACUCAGGGCUUAACCCUGAGCCUGCUUCCGAUACGGGCAGACUAGAGGUAUGCAGGGGAGAACGGAAUUCCUGGUGUAGCGGUGAAAUGCGCAGAUAUCAGGAGGAACACCGGUGGCGAAGGCGGUUCUCUGGGCAUUGCCUGACGCUGAGGAGCGAAAGUGUGGGGAGCGAACAGG
rnacentral:rRNA from 1 species